rnacentral:misc_RNA from 1 species
UUUGCCUGCUUGUAGAACAUCUGUGAAGCAGCACUCAGAUCUGAACUCUUCUCAACUAGGCUGUCUAGUUUCUCACCUCGUGCGAGCACACUGUCAAUAGUUUUAUGAAGGAUAAUUUUUGUCUCAUCCAACUCCCUCUGAAUUUUCAAUAACUUAUCUGCCUCUGCAGGAUCUUGGAACUUGGUCAAUGCUUCAUUCAAAUAUGGCCA